GUGUGUAUAGCUCAGUGGUAGAGCACAUGCUUAACAUACAUGGGGUCCUGGGUUCAAAUGCCUAGUACCUCCA
rnacentral:tRNA from 1 species